UACGAGGGGGGCGAGCGUUGUUCGGAAUUAUUGGGCGUAAAGGGUGCGUAGGCGGUUCCGCAAGUCCUGUGUGAAAUCUUCGGGCUCAACUCGAAGUCUGCACGGGAAACUGCGGGGCUUGAGUGUGGGAGAGGUGAGUGGAAUUCCCGGUGUAGCGGUGAAAUGCAUUGAGAUCGGAAAGAACACCAACGGCGAAAGCACUCUGCUGGGCCGACACUGACACUGAGAGACGAAAGCUAGGGGAGCAAAUGGG
rnacentral:rRNA from 1 species